rnacentral:rRNA from 1 species
AUUGAACGCUGGCGGCAGGCUUAACACAUGCAAGUCGAGCGGAGAGAGGUAGCUUGCUACUGAUCUUAGCGGCGGACGGGUGAGUAAUGCUUAGGAAUCUGCCUAUUAGUGGGGGACAACAUUUCGAAAGGAAUGCUAAUACCGCAUACGUCCUACGGGAGAAAGCAGGGGAUCUUCGGACCUUGCGCUAAUAGAUGAGCCUAAGUCGGAUUAGCUAGUUGGUGGGGUAAAGGCCUACCAAGGCGACGAUCGGUAGCGGGUCUGAGAGGAUGAUCCGCCACACUGGGACUGAGACACGGCCCAGACUCCUAUGGGAGGCAGCAGUGGGGAAUAUUGGACAAUGGGCGGAAGCCUGAUCCAGCCAUGCCGCGUGUGUGAAGAAGGCCUUAUGGUUGUAAAGCACUUUAAGCGAGGAGGAGGCUACUUUAGUUAAUACCUAGAGAUAGUGGACGUUACUCGCAGAAUAAGCACCGGCUAACUCUGUGCCAGCCGCCGCGGUAAUAC